AAAAGAACCUGAAACCGUGUACGUACAAGCAGUGGGAGCACGCUUAGGCGUGUGACUGCGUACCUUUUGUAUAAUGGGUCAGCGACUUAUAUUCUGUAGCAAGGUUAACCGAAUAGGGGAGCCGAAGGGAAACCGAGUCUUAACUGGGCGUUAAGUUGCAGGGUAUAGACCCGAAACCCGGUGAUCUAGCCAUGGGCAGGUUGAAGGUUGGGUAACACUAACUGGAGGACCGAACCGACUAAUGUUGAAAAAUUAGCGGAUGACUUGUGGCUGGGGGUGAAAGGCCAAUCAAACCGGGAGAUAGCUGGUUCUCCCCGAAAGCUAUUUAGGUAGCGCCUCGUGAAUUCAUCUCCGGGGGUAGAGCACUGUUUCGGCAAGGGGGUCAUCCCGACUUACCAACCCGAUGCAAACUGCGAAUACCGGAGAAUGUUAUCACGGGAGACACACGGCGGGUGCUAACGUCCGUCGUGAAGAGGGAAACAACCCAGACCGCCAGCUAAGGUCCCAAAGUCAUGGUUAAGUGGGAAACGAUGUGGGAAGGCCCAGACAGCCAGGAUGUUGGCUUAGAAGCAGCCAUCAUUUAAAGAAAGCGUAAUAGCUCACUGGUCGAGUCGGCCUGCGCGGAAGAUGUAACGGGGCUAAACCAUGCACCGAAGCUGCGGCAGCGACGCUUAUGCGUUGUUGGGUAGGGGAGCGUUCUGUAAGCCUGC
rnacentral:rRNA from 1 species